CUACGCAUCUUAGAUGUGCGUCCUUCCUCUUCCUGGAGCCUGAUUUUCAUGUCGGCAGUGUGGUUUGGCGUAGCUGUGUCGGAUCCACGUGGCUGUCUUAAGAUGCUGGUUGUCGAAUUUCCUCCGUUCACUUUUGUCAGCAUUCUGGCUGGAGGUUAAGAGUGGGCAGUGUGUGGCCUUGGAGCCGUGUGUAAUAAUUCACGUGCUGCGUUGGGUUCCUGAAGUAGGCUGGCUGGUUUCUGUCUGGUGUUUUUAUGCGCUUUUGUUUGGCUGCACGUGACGUGACUCUGGUCUCUGAUUGCUGUUAUUAAGCUGCAUCCCUUCGCGGCGACCUCCCCUGUUUCCUGGGAAGCUGCUCCUUCACUGACUGCAGGUGGCUCAACCUCUGAAGCAGGCCUCUGCGCUCCAGCUACUGCUGUUCUGUCUGUGGGUUCGCCUCGGCAAGCUCACUGCUCGUCUGCAUUUGUUUUCACUGCUAUUGUUUCUUUUGUUUUUUUUUUGGCUUUUAAACGCAUCGUUGUGUGUGUGUGUGUGUGUGUGUGCGUGCUCGCUGCCUUGCACGCCUGGAGUAGAUUCCGCUGGACGAGAUUUGAGUGUUGGUAGCACCGCAUGUGGUGCUGUCUCUGUAGAGGAAAUUAACGUAGUGUAGGAUUUAAAGCUGCACCAGGAAAACUGAUCCUCACCAGCUAACCUAUCAAUCUUUGGUUAAUUAUUGUUUUUUUGUAUUGUAAUUAGAUAUUCAUUGUUAUUAUUUAUAGAUUUUGUGAUCAUUCAUCGUUAUUUUCUGUAGAUUUUGUGUUUAGUUAUU